UACGGGGGGGGGCAAGCGUUUGUUCGGAAUUACUGGGCGUAAAGGGCUCGUAGGUGGCCAACUAAGUCAGACGUGAAAUCCCUCGGCUUAACCGGGGAACUGCGUCUGAUACUGGAUGGCUUGAGUUUGGGAGAGGGACGCGGAAUUCCAGGUGUAGCGGUGAAAUGCGUAGAUAUCUGGAGGAAUACCGGUGGCGAAGGCGGCAUCCUGGACCGACAUUGACGCUGAACGGCGAAAGCUAGGGGAGCAAACGGG
rnacentral:rRNA from 1 species